rnacentral:rRNA from 1 species
CACGUAGGGCGCAAGCGUUGUCCGGAAUUAUUGGGCGUAAAGAGCUCGUAGGCGGUGUGUCACGUCGGCCGUGAAAACCUGCAGCUUAACUGUGGGCGUGCGGUCGAUACGGGCAUCACUGGAGUUCGGCAGGGGAGACUGGAAUUCCUGGUGUAGCGGUGAAAUGCGCAGAUAUCAGGAGGAACACCGGUGGCGAAGGCAGAUCUCUGGGCCGUAACUGACGCUGAGGAGCGAAAGCAUGGGGAGCGAACAGG